UGGGGAAUCUUGGACAAUGGGCGCAAGCCUGAUCCAGCCAUGCCGCGUGGAUGAUGAAGGCCUUAGGGUUGUAAAAUCCUUUCGUUGGGGACGAUAAUGACGGUACCCAAAGAAGAAGCUCCGGCUAACUUCGUGCCAGCAGCCGCGGUAAUACGAAGGGGGCUAGCGUUGUUCGGAUUUACUGGGCGUAAAGCGCGUGUAGGCGGACUUGUAAGUUGGGGGUGAAAUCCCGAGGCUCAACCUCGGAACUGCCUCCAAAACUACAAAUCUGGACCUAAGUAGAGGCAAGUGGAAUUGCGAGUGUAGCGGUGAAAUGCGUAGAUAUCAAGAGGAACACCUGAGGUGAAGACGGGUUGCUGGGCUGACACUGACGCUGAGGCGCGAAAGCGUGGGGAUCGAACAGGAUUAGAUACCCCAGUAGUCCCUGAGCGGGCUGGCAAGGCGCAU
rnacentral:rRNA from 1 species